rnacentral:rRNA from 1 species
AGGAAAAGAAACCAACAGGGAUUGCCCUAGUAACGGCGAGUGAAGCGGCAACAGCUCAAAUUUGAAAUCUGGCGCAAGCCCGAGUUGUAAUUUGUAGAGGAUGCUUCUAGGUAGCGACCGGUCUAAGUUCCUUGGAACAGGACGUCAUAGAGGGUGAGAAUCCCGUAUGCGACCGGCCCGCACCUUCUACGUAGCUCCUUCGACGAGUCGAGUUGUUUGGGAAUGCAGCUCUAAAUGGGAGGUAAAUUUCUUCUAAAGCUAAAUACCGGCCAGAGACCGAUAGCGCACAAGUAGAGUGAUCGAAAGAUGAAAAGCACUUUGGAAAGAGAGUUAAAAAGCACGUGAAAUUGUUGAAAGGGAAGCGCUUACAACCAGACUUCUGGGCGGUGUUCCGCCGGUCUUUUGACCGGUCUACUCGCCGUCCCGAGGCCAACAUCAUCUGGGACCGCUGGAUAAGACCUUAGGAAUGUAGCUUCCCUCGGGAAGUGUUAUAGCCUGUGGUGAUGCAGCGCGUCUCGGGUGAGGUCCGCGCUUCGGCAAGGAUGUUGGCGUAAUGGUUGUCAGCGGCCCGUCUUGAAACACGGACCAAGGAGUCUAACAUCUAUGCGAGUGUUCGGGUGUCAAACCCCUACGCGUAAUGAAAGUGAACGGAGGUGGGAAGGGUGACCUGCACCAUCGACCGAUCCUGAUGUCCUCGGAUGGAUUUGAGUAAGAGCAUAGCUGUUGGGACCCGAAAGAUGGUGAACUAUGCCUGAAUAGGGUGAAGCCAGAGGAAACUCUGGUGGAGGCUCGCAGCGGUUCUGACGUGCAAAUCGAUCGUCAAAUUUGGGU